UUUGCCAAUAACACGCCCUCAUCAGUAUUUGUUACCUCUGUCUUUUAGAGAGAGAAACUCUCCUCCCUUUAUUUUUUCUUUUAGAUCUAGGAUUUUAAGAACUUUUCUUUACCGUUUUCGACGGCUCCCUUUGCUUGGAAAGCCUCUUUCACUACCCGAUUUUGAUGAGUUUCCCUCCCCGUCGCUAGGCGGGGAUGUAAAUAUUUGUGAUUUUGUCUGGUGUAGUAGCAUGCGCUGAAGGGAGAGGUUCUUAGGCCUGCUAUGGGUUCUGUUAUGCUUUCUUAGUGUGUUUACUGAUCUUCUUACAGGUGUAGGUGCUGAGUAAAGAAGUUUUUGUUUGUUUUGCCCUGUGUGUGUGGUUGUUAAUUUAGAGGCAUGAAGGUCUUUUUUCGAUCAUUGGUGGCUAGAAGGGUAUAGCGCGAGUGGGAUGCUUAUCGAUCAAAGUUACCAACGCCCUCGAGGCUUUAACGAUGGUAGAUAAGGGCUGGUCUGGUCCAGUUCUCUCCUCAGUGUUCAAGCAUUCCGGUGAUAGUUUGUGGAGGCGACAACAUUAAGAGCUAUAUCUGCUGUGUUUUCCUGCCCUAGUUAGGGUUGGAGUUGGGUUGGGCGUUUAGAAGUUGGAUUUUAAGAUCUCUCUGUUAGAUCUAUGGAUGUAUUUGGCUUAACUGUUGUUAGAUAUAGCCCAUAAUUGGUAAUGAUAGCUAUUAUUGUCAAUUGAUAAUUGGUAAUAAAUUAUAAUUAAUUUAUAUUAAA